UGAGGAAUAUUGCACAAUGGGCGCAAGCCUGAUGCAGCGACGCCGCGUGGGUGAAGAAGGUUUUCGGAUCGUAAAGCCCUUUUCCUAGUGACGAGGAAGGACGGUAACUAGGGAAUAAGUGUCGGCUAACUACGUGCCAGCAGCCGCGGUAAAACGUAGGACGCAAACGUUAUCCGGAAUUACUGGGCGUAAAGCGCGCGCAGGCGGGCUGGUAAGUCAUGCGUGAAAGCUCCCGGCUAAACUGGGAGAGGUCGGAUGAUACUGCCAGUCUUGAGGCUGUCAGAGGUAUGUGGAAUUCCGCGUGUAGUGGUGAAAUGCGUAGAGAUGCGGAGGAACACCAGUGGCGAAGGCGGCAUACUGGGGCAGCACUGACGCUGAGGCGCGAAAGCAUGGGUAGCGAACGGGAUUAGAUACCCCCGUAGUCC
rnacentral:rRNA from 1 species